UGGUGUUUAAAUUAAAUACAUUUGAUUAUUUUAUUAUUUCUUGUUCUAAACAUACAAGUGAUACCGCUGUUCUGGACUUGAAGCGUUGAAGACGCUAGGGAUCACGUGAGAAAACCACACACGAAAAAUGUUCGCAUAAGAUACGGCAAAAAUGUAAAGGUGAUGUCGCUGUUGUGGACUUGAAGCAUUGAAGAUGCUAGGGAUCACCAGAUCUCCAGAUCCAGUGAGAAAACCACACACGAAAAAUUU